rnacentral:rRNA from 1 species
CAAUAGCGUAUAUUAACGUUGUUGCAGUUAAAAAGCUCGUAGUUGGAUUUCUGGAGGGAGCGUCGGCCCGUAUUUACGAGUGCGUGACGUCUCUGUCCAUCCUUGCGGGAAGGCACGGCAUUGAUUUGUUGUGUCGGAUCGCAUCAUUUACUGUGAAAAAAUUAGAGUGUUCAAAGCAGGCUUUCGCUUGAAUACAUUAGCAUGGAAUAAUAAGAUAGGACUUUGGAGCUAUUUUGUUGGUUGAGCCUAAAGUAAUGAUUAAUAGGGAUAGUUGGGGGCACCUGUAUUGCGUUGUCAGAGGUGAAAUUCUUGGAUUUACGCAAGACAAACAGCUGCGAAAGCGUCUGCCAAGGAUGUUUUCAUUAA